AUUGAACGCUGGCGGCAUGCCUAACACAUGCAAGUCGAACGGCAGCACGACCUAGCUUGCUAGGUUGGUGGCGAGUGGCGCACGGGUGAGUAAUGCGUAGGAAUAUACCUUAAAGUGGGGGACAACCUGGGGAAACUCAGGCUAAUACCGCAUGAGCUCUAAGGAGGAAAGCUGGGGACCUUUCGGGGCCUGGCGCUUUAAGAAUAGCUUACGUCCGAUUAGUUAGUUGGUGGGGUAAAGGCUUACCAAGACGAUGAUCGGUAGCUGGUCUGAGAGGAUGAUCAGCCACACUGGGACUGAGACACGGCCCAGACUCCUACGGGAGGCAGCAGUGGGGAAUAUUGGACAAUGGGGGAAACCCUGAUCCAGCGAUGCCGCGUGUGUGAAGAAGGCCUGCGGGUUGUAAAGCACUUUCGGUGGGGAGGAGGACUUAUAGGUUAAGAGCUAAUGAGUUGGAUGUUACCCACAUGAGAGGCACCGGCUAACUCCGUGCCAGCCGCCGCCGUAA
rnacentral:rRNA from 1 species